AGAGUUUGAUCCUGGCUCAGAACGUACGCUGGCGGCACGCCUAACACAUGCAAGUCGAACGAAGUAGCAAUACUUAGUGGCAGACGGGUGAGUAACAUGUGGGUAUCUACCCUUUGGCCUGGAAUAACACGAGGAAACUUGUGCUAAUACCGGAUAAGUCUUUACGGAGAAAGCUUUAUGCACCAUUGGAUGAGCCCGCACUUGAUUAGUUUGUUGGUAGGGUAAUGGCCUACCAAGACUAUGAUCAAUAGCUGAUUUGAGAGGAUGAUCAGCCACAUUGGGACUGAGACACGGCCCAAACUCCUACGGGAGGCAGCAGUGGGGAAUCUUGCACAAUGGAGGAAACUCUGAUGCAGCGAUGCCGCGUGAGUGAAGAAGGCCUUUGGGUUGUAAAGCUCUUUCGUCGGGGAAGAAAAUGACUGUACCCGAAUAAGAAGGUCCGGCUAACUUCGUGCCAGCAGCCGCGGUAAUACGAAGGGACCUAGCGUAGUUCGGAAUUACUGGGCUUAAAGAGUUCGUAGGUGGUUGAAAAAGUUGGUGGUGAAAUCCCAGAGCUUAACUCUGGAACUGCCAUCAAAACUUUUCAGCUAGAGUAUGAUAGAGGAAAGCAGAAUUUCUAGUGUAGAGGUGAAAUUCGUAGAUAUUAGAAAGAAUACCAAUUGCGAAGGCAGCUUUCUGGAUCAUUACUGACACUGAGGAACGAAAGCAUGGGUAGCGAAGAGGAUUAGAUACCCUCGUAGUCCAUGCCGUAAACGAUGUGUGUUAGACGUUGGAAAUUUAUUUUCAGUGUCGCAGGAAACCGAUAAACACACCGCCUGGGGAGUACGACCGCAAGGUUAAAACUCAAAUGAAUUGAC
rnacentral:rRNA from 1 species